rnacentral:tRNA from 1 species
UGUGGUGCGAAUGGUUAACACGUUUGGCUGCUAACCAAAAGGUUGGAGGUUUGAGUCCGCCCA